CGGAGGGUGCGAGCGUUGUCCGGAAUCACUGGGCGUAAAGGGCGCGUAGGCGGCGCGGGUAGUCAACGGUGAAAGCUCAGGGCUCAACCCUGAGUCGGCCGUCGAUACUCCCGUGCUUGAGCACUGUAGAGGCAGGUGGAAUUCCGGGUGUAGCGGUGGAAUGCGUAGAGAUCCGGAAGAACACCGGUGGCGAAGGCGGCCUGCUGGGCAGUAGCUGACGCUGAUGCGCGACAGCGUGGGGAGCAAACAGGAUUAGGUACCCUGGUAGUCCACGCCGUAAACGAUGGGUACUAGGUGCUUGGGGGAGCGACCCCCUGAGUGCCGGCGCUAACGCAUUAAGUACCCCGCCUGGGGAGUACGGCCGCAAGGCUG
rnacentral:rRNA from 1 species